rnacentral:lncRNA from 1 species
AUUCAUAAAGAACCGAGAGAAAAAGAGAGAAGCCGAGGACCCCGCGGCUUCUUCACCGUCUCGCCACGGUCUUGGGUCUGAUGCGCCGCGUGCUCCUCCGGCUGGCGUCUGCACACGUCUCUGCAUCUGCGUGUACGUGGGAGUAUGAACAUGUCUGUGUGCGCCCAGGAGGGAGGCGACCGGGCUUGUGUGCCCAGAGGAACAAUAAUAACUAGCAUUUAUGAAGCGCUCCGCUUCCACGUGCUCAUUUCGUUCCCAUAACCCGGCGAAAUGGAUCGUUUGUAUCUUACAGAUAUUAAAAAUGAAACUCAGAGAGGGAUGGUAACUCUCCUGAGGUCACUCAGCUAGUCAGCACCUCUGGGGUUUACAGCCUCAAAUCCCUCACACUCUCCUGUACACCCCUCUGAAGCCAUGAUUAAAUGAGUUAAGCUAUGUGACAACUGAUACACAGUAGGUGAUCAAUAAAUGUAAACUGGCACAGAAUCCAGGCUUUUCCUCAAGGGUCUGUUCUCUGCAGAGCUGUUUUGUGACCCACUUUCUACUGAUUGCAGCAGAAACCAGAAGCCCCAGGGUAGAUGAUUUCCGAAAGUGUAGCUCCCUCUCAGCCAUCUUCCCUCUUAUCUGAGAGCCAGCAAAAGGAGCAAAAGCCCCAAAGGUUCUGAUGAUCUGGAGGCAGGAUGGGUUUCAGUUUUAGCUAAGAAGCUGGUCAUAGUCUCUGUCAUCUCAUCCAUUCACCACUUCUUUCAAUAAACAUUUAUCGUGUCAGAUACAGUGCUGGGUUCCAGGCAAGCAGCUAUGUCCAAGACAGACAUCUGAGGGGACCUGGGGUGCUUGGGCUGUGGCCAUGGGGGCACAAAGGACAUGAAUCCUCAAAGGCCUUUUUGCUGAGACAAUUCUCUAUGUCUCCAGCCUAUGCACUCCUUUGAGGACAGCCUGAUUUUUUAUCCUGCCUGUUUGUGAUAAACACAAAAGAAUGUUCAAAUGCCAGGCCAGCAGGAGUGGCUUCCCAAAUUCAUCUAACCUAACACCCGCCACUUUACAGAUGAGGCAGUGGAGUUUCAGAGAAGGAAAUGACACAUGUAAGCUCUUUGGGCCUGUCUGGCCAGAACUAAGGCUAAAACAUACAAUUGCUGUUUAGUGUUCAUAAGGGCUCAUUCCAUGAGAUCUGCUUGUGCAAAUGGAAGUAAACUUCCCUUUCUAUAGGUGCUGUAAUAUUCUAUAAGGCUCAUGUCUAUUGUCCCUCUCCUCCAGGAAGCCUUCCAUGAUAGCCUGAAUCAGUUCCUUUAGCCAUAUACAACAUUCUUGACUAUAUCUCUGGUGUGGAUGUUUUUCAUCCUGCCUCAUGGUAUAGACAUCCUUAUCUAUGGAGAGCUCUCCAGAGCUCAUUUGCCUCUGAAAGUCCUCCUCAGCCUGUUAGCAUGCUUAUGAGGGUGGCAUGAAAUGCUUGUGUAGUGAAUAGGUACAAUAAAGACCAAAUUAAUUGAGCUUAGCAGGAACCCUGCCCAAGGAAGGAGAAACAAGCCCAAGCAAAUCCCAGCUUUGGGCUGGAUGGAACCAGUUUAGAGACAAGUGUGAGUUCUGGCCAAGAGAAGUGGAGAGGAGGACAGAGGGCUCUUCCUGGAAGGCAGCUUUGAUGUGGUCUCCAUGACAACGAAGAAGAGUCCAGUAGGUCUUUAAGUUGGUACUGGGCACUUCAGUAGGAUGGGACCUCUCUAGGGAUGCCAGUGCCCCUCUGGUUCUGAGUUUUUUUGUUUUUGUUUUUGAGACAGAGUUUCACUCUUGUUGCCCACACUGGAGUGCAAAGGUGCAAUCUCGGCUCACUGCAACCUCCGCCUCCCGGGUUCAAGCGAUUCUCCUGCCUCAGCCUCCCGAGCAGCUGGGAUUACAGGUGCCCGCCACCAUACCUGGCUAAUUUUUUGUAUUUUUAAUACAGACGGAGUUUCACCAUGUUGGUCAGGCUGGUCUCAAACUCCUGACCUCAGGUGAUCCACUUGGCUUCCUAAAGUGCUGGGAUUACAGGCAUGAGCCACCAAGCCCAG